AGAGUUUGAUUCUGGCUCAGAUUGAACGCUGGCGGCAUGGCUAAAACAUGCAAGUCGAACGAGAAAGCACUUCGGUGCGAGUAUAGUGGCGAAAGGGCGAGUAACGCGUAUCUUACGUACCCUUGAGUAAGGGAUAGCUGUUGGAAACGGCAGGUAAUACCUUAUAAUCUCCUUCGGGAGCAAAGAUUUAUCGCUCAAGGAUCGGGAUGCGUCCUAUCAGCUAGUUGGUAAGGUAAAGGCUUACCAAGGCUAAGACGGGUAGCGGGUGUGAGAGCACGGACCGCCGCAUCGGGACUGAGACACUGCCCGGACUCCUACGGGAGGCUGCAGUAACGAAUAUUCCGCAAUGCACGAAAGUGUGACGGAGCAAUGCCGCGUGUAGGAUGAAGCAUCUAGGUGUGUAAACUACUGUCAGGGACUAGGAUAAUGACCAACCCCAAAGGAAGAGCCGGCUAACUCUGUGCCAGCAGCCGCGGUAAUACAGAGGGCUCGAGCGUUAAUCGGAAUCACUGGGCUUAAAGGGUCCGCAGGCUGAUUCGUAAGUAUCUUGUGAAAUACCACAGCUCAACUGUGGAAUUGCUCGAUAAACUGCGAAUCUUGAGCAAGCUAGAGGCCAUCAGAACAUUAGGUGGAGCGGUGAAAUGCUUAGAUAUCUAAUGGAAUGCCGACGGAGAAGUCAGAUGGCUGGGGCUUUGCUGACGCUCAUGGACGAAAGCGUAGGUAGCGAACGGGAUUAGAUACCCCGGUAGUCUACGCCGUAAACGAUGUACACUAGAUCGUGGGAGUUUUGACACUUUCGCGAUCGAAGUUAAAAUAUUAAGUGUACCGCCUGGGGAGUACGGUCGCAAGGCUAAAACUCAAAGAAAUUGACGGGGGCUCACACAAGCGGUGGAGCAUGUGGCUUAAUUCGAAUCAACGCGAAGAACCUUACCUGGGUUUGACAUGUAUGGAUUAGUAUUCAGAGACGAAUAUGACGCCUUCGGGUGGAACAUACACAGGUGCUGCAUGGCUGUCGUCAGCUCGUGCUGUGAAGUGUCGGGUUAAGUCCCUUAACGAGCGAAACCCCUAUCAUUAGUUGCCAGCGAGUCAUGUCGGGGACUCUAAUGAGACUGCCGGUGUUAAACCGGAGGAAGGUGGGGAUGACGUCAAGUCCUCAUGGCCUUUAUGCCCAGGGUUGCACACGUGCUACAAUGGUAUGGACAGAGUGACGCGAAGCGGCGACGUGGAGCAAAUCGCAGAAACCAUGCCUCAGUUCGGAUUGUACUCUGCAACUCGAGUACAUGAAGCUGGAAUCGCUAGUAAUCGCGUAUCAGCUACGACGCGGUGAAUAAGUC
rnacentral:rRNA from 1 species